AUUGAACGCUGGCGGCAUGCCUUACACAUGCAAGUCGAACGGCAGCGCGGGAGCAAUCCUGGCGGCGAGUGGCGAACGGGUGAGUAAUGCAUCGGAACGUGCCCAAUCGUGGGGGAUAACGCAGUGAAAGCUGUGCUAAUACCGCAUACGAUCUACGGAUGAAAGCAGGGGAUCGCAAGACCUUGCGCGAAUGGAGCGGCCGAUGGCAGAUUAGGUAGUUGGUGAGGUAAAGGCUCACCAAGCCUUCGAUCUGUAGCUGGUCUGAGAGGACGACCAGCCACACUGGGACUGAGACACGGCCCAGACUCCUACGGGAGGCAGCAGUGGGGAAUUUUGGACAACGGGCGAAAGCCUGAUCCAGCCAUGCCGCGUGCAGGAUGAAGGCCUUCGGGUUGUAAACUGCUUUUGUACGGAACGAAACGGUCUUUUCUAAUAAAGAAGGCUAAUGACGGUACCGUAAGAAUAAGCACCGGCUAACUACGUG
rnacentral:rRNA from 1 species